rnacentral:rRNA from 1 species
AGUAGUUAGGNUUAAAAGCCUANCUNGNUGUACGCACGUNGUCGNANCUGAAAGGNUGAUNGACCACNGUGGGNCUGAACAAAGCCCAUGACGAUUGUCACAGCAGUGNGGAAUAUUGGUCAAUAGCCUAACGGCUGAACCAGNAACUUGGAGGAAUGUAUAGCAAUAGCUACUUGUAUCAUUGUAGAUAUGAUGCAGGAUCGACUAUGUCGAAUAAAAUUCUAGGUAGAAUUAUGAUAAUGACAUUGUCUGCCUAUGUGUCUUGACCAAAUUACGUGCCAGCAGUCGCGGUAAUACGUAGAAGACUAGUGUUAUUCAUGUUUAAUCGGUUUAAAGGGUACCUAGACGGUAAAUCAAGCCUACAAAUAAAAGAAAUGAAGGGACUAAUUUGCUAGAGUUACUUAUGAGGGGGUAUUAAAGUACUGCUGGUGUAGAGAUGAAAUUCUGUCAUACCUCUUUUCAAUAGAAAAAUAACGGCACAGGUAUAGGCGAAAGCAUCCCCUUAUGUGAUAACUGACGUUGAGGGACGAAGGCUUUGUGUAGCGAACAGGAUUAGAUACCCCAGUAGUCAAAGCAGAAAAUGAUGAAUGUCAUAGAUUAGAUAAAUAAGUUUAUUCUAUAAAUGAAAGUGUAAGCAUUCCACCUCAAGAGUAAUUUGGCAACAUUGGAACUGAAAUCAUUAGACCGUUUCUGAAACCAGUAGUGAAGUAUGUUGUUUAAUUUGAUGAUCCGCAAAAAACCUUACCACAAUUUGAAUAUUUAUAUCUUUUAUUGUUUUAUUUUUCUUAUGGUUUUAUUCCAGAUGGUGAUAAUUAUAUAAGAAAANAGAGGCAAUAAGAUAUAUUUACAAGCGUUGCACGGCUGUCUUCAGUUAAUGUCGCGAGACUUUGGUUAGUUCCAUUAAAUUAACGUNNACCCUUACUUUAUUUUUAUAUAGAGUAGUUCCCCGCUAUAUUG